AACAAGCAAUAAUAGAGAAUGAAAGAGAAAAGAAAAGACUUAGUCUCCUAAGAUUUCCUAAACUCCAAUGCUAGCAAAACAAGCAAUCACAUAGAACCACCAAAU